rnacentral:rRNA from 1 species
GGGUAAUGGCUACCAAGUCAACGAUCAGUAGCCGGACUGAGAGGUUGAACGGCCACAUUGGGACUGAGAUACGGCCCAGACUCCUACGGGAGGCAGCAGUCGGGAAUAUUGCGCAAUGGAGGAAACUCUGGCGCAGCAACGCCGCGUGAAGGAAGAAGGUCUUCGGAUUGUAAACUUCUGUCCUCAGGGAAGAUAAUGACGGUACCUGAGGAGGAAGCUCCGGCUAACUAC